AGAAAAUGUGGUACAUUUACACAAUGGAGUACUACUCAGCAGAAUAAAACAAUGGAAUCUUGAAAUUCACAGACAAAUGGAUGGAACUAGAAUAAACCAUCCUAAGUGAGAUGCAUUAAAGCUUGUCUGCAGAAGGAUCCGAGUGUCCUGCGUGUAUUUCUUGCCGGCGAGAACAUACAGCACGCGGGACAUAUGGUGCCGAAACCCGGGAACUUUGUUAACAUCUCCGGCACUGCGGAGACCCCUCUAAUGGGGCGGAUUCAGAACUGCAGGGUGGUAAAUUCGGAGAGGAUGAAGAAAAUCUUCUGUGGAUCCCAGAAAGACUCAACCCGAAGAGCCCCUUCGGACCUUCAAAAGUCAAAACUCCACCCUCUCCCUGGGAGUUGAGAGCCGCUAUUGUUAUCCAGAUUAACUCCUGUCCUUGACGGAGAGAAAGGGGUGGGGGUGGGAUUGUUUGGUGCAGCCGUUUGCGGAUUGAUGUUACUUCUGGCUGGUCUGUAAGCUCUAGGCUCAAAACUAAAGAGAGAUCGCCCAAGUGCUUCCACUGAUAUUUGGCUAACUAUGCUUAAGCAAUAGGCCGCCGGCCAGACAGCUCUUGCACACCCGGAGCCUAGGCUCAUUGCACAGGGUAGAGUGUCUGGUUUGAGCAG
rnacentral:lncRNA from 1 species